CUGACCUAUGAAUUGACAGCCAGUGCUCCGUCUCCCCUCUGGCUGCCAAUUCCAUAGGUCACAG
rnacentral:pre_miRNA from 1 species